rnacentral:rRNA from 1 species
UACGUAGGGGGCAAGCGUUGUCCGGAUUUAUUGGGCGUAAAGAGCGUGUAGGCGGCCAGGUAGGUCGGUUGUGAAAACUGGAGGCUUAACUUCCAGACGUCGACCGAAACCAUCUGGCUAGAGUCCGGAAGAGGAGAGUGGAAUUCCUGGUGUAGCGGUGAAAUGCGCAGAUAUCAGGAAGAACACCCGUGGCUAAGGCGGCUCUCUAGUACGGUACUGACGCUGAGACGCGAAAGCGUGGGGAGCGAACAGG